rnacentral:rRNA from 1 species
AGAAUCAACGCUGGCGGCGUGCCUAACACAUGCAAGUCGAACGAGAAAGUGGAGCAAUCCAUGAGUACAGUGGCGCACGGGUGAGUAACACGUGACUAACCUACCCUUGAGUGGGGAAUAAACCUGGAGAAAUCUAGGCUAAUACCGCAUAACACCUACGGGUCAAAGGAGCAAUUCGCUUAAGGAGGGGGUCGCGGCAGAUUAGCUAGUUGGCGGGGUAAUGGCCCACCAAGGCAGUGAUCUGUA